AUCAAACAUAAAUCAAGCUUAAAUUUGGAUGGUGUCCCUUUAAUCAUUCUCAAAUAAUUUCCCCUUUAUAAAUGGAAAAAUGCUUCAAUUGCUUUUACAAGCAGAGUCAUCUGUCACACGAACACAUUCUUUUUAUGUCCCCGCCAUAGCUGGAGGGGCAGUAAGUUUUGCCCUUGUCCAUAAGUACCCAAAAUUGGUUUCCCUUCUCUAACUUCAGUUUGCUUCCAUAUAAUUCUAUGAAACUUAUACCCAAUGCUUAUUACCCCAAAAUACUGAUCAAGUUUGAAUUUUGGUAGUUUCACCUUUAACCAUUUAGACUUAUUAUGAGUUAUGCCUCUUAUAAAAAGAAAAAUUGUAAAAUAUUUAUUUUUCCGUUCUCUAAAGUUUGCCUCAACCAAAUGUAAUGAAACUUAUACACAAUGCUUAUAACCAAAUUACACAAAUCAAGUUGAAUUUUUGUGGUGUCACACUACCAUUAUCAAGUAAAAAGGGGGGGAUCAUCUGUGUCCAUGGGGACACAUUCUCAAUUUUUAUACGACCACAAAAUUUAAAAUUUGGUCAUAUAUUGGUAUCAUGUCAUCGUCGUCAGCGUCG
rnacentral:lncRNA from 1 species